CCCCAGUCCUUAUCCAACUCAUGAUGCUAACCCCAGCCCCAGUCCUUAUCCAACUCAUGAUGCUAACCCCAGCCCCAGUCCUUAUCCAACUCAUGAUGCUAACCCCAGCCCCAGUCCUUAUCCAACUCAUGAUGCUAACCCCAGCCCCAGUCCUUAUCCAACUCAUGAUGCUAACCCCAGCCCAGUCCUUAUCCAACUCAUGAUGCUAACCCCAGCCCCAGUCCUUAUCCAACUCAUGAUGCUAACCCCAGCCCCAGUCCUUAUCCAACUCAUGAUGCUAACCCCAGCCCCAGUCCUUAUCCAACUCAUGAUGCUAACCCCAGCCCCAGUCCUUAUCCAACUCAUGAUGCUAACCCCAGCCCCAGUCCUUAUCCAACUCAUGAUGCUAGCACCACAACAGAGCUAGAGGAGAUGGAGGACGAUAUAUUCAGACCAAACUUUGUCGCCAGCCCUAGUCGUGUACCGGAUCCCAGUCCCAGCCAUAGUCCCAUCUCAGAGUUUGAAGAAGAAGACCUGUUACCUCUUAGCCUUGAUCCAAGCUUUAGUACCACCUCCAGACCUAGCCAAAGUUUGGGGAGCAGCCAUACACCUAGUUCUAACCUAACCAGUAUGACAGACUUGGAGGAAGGCGGGGCUGCAAAGAUGAACACAGAGCUGGCCUUCACCUCAACCACCAGUUCUGCCGCACCUACAACAGUCAGGAUGAAUUCAGACAUCGAAGGGUCAGGGUUGGGAUUCAUGCCUCAGAGUAGCACCACAGUAGCAGCCCCUGCUGGUGAGGAGGACCAAACGUACAACUCCCGAGUCGAUAAGCCACUCAUUGAAACAAAGACAAUAAUUCAAGGCAGCAAUAGGCUUGCUCUACCAAGGAGGAACCGGCAGUGGAUACCUCUACAGUUCUUCGUGAUGCAGCUGCUGUAAAACCAACCCCAUCCAGACAACAUGAUUCAUAUACAUCGGGUUGGUUGAUCAUCGUUGCCUUCGUCGCGGGCGUGGCGGUGUUGGUCGUAAUCUGUGUCGCCAUAGGUACCAGAGACAGGUGGAAUGCACCGGCCCAGGCUUCUGAGAAGAAGGUCGCCAACGCGAGCUCAGGAGAUGAGAAGGUGGAGCGGGAAAUGGAGAGGUUUCUGUCUAAAGAGAGGCCAAGGGAAAACAUCCACGCUGGAGAGUACACUGUUAUACUUCUGGAGGACCUCCCUGAGAAAGAGCCGCUGGACUGAGACGGGCCAAGGAGAUGCAGAACGGAAAAUAAGAACAACGGACACCUGAGAAAUAGAAUGGAACGGGUCUCCCCAUUCUAGUCAAUGGUGGCAUAAUGGGUGGCAUAAUGGGUGGCAUAAUGGGUGGCAUAAUGGGUGGCAUAAUGGGUGGAUCCCCCAUUCUUGACACACACAGGAAACUGUUGAGUGUGAAAAACCCAGCAGCAUUGUAGUUCUUGACACAAACGGGUGCACCUGGCACCUACCCUGUUCAAAGGCACUUAAAUAUUUUGUCU